CAAGAACAUCAACAUAAAAAAUAUACAUAAUCAUAAUCACAACAUAAAUUAAAAAGAUUAAGAGAAAUGAACUAGAAAAACAAAUCCCGAUGAUUUUCCAAAGCCAAACUAAUGCGCUCCUCUCUUCUCUGCCCGUUCUGUUGAUCCAAAGCCUUCACGAACACUUGAUUGCUACUUCUCCAAGGAGCUUGCUAGCUCUUUUUCAAGAGGGGAAUUCGGCAAGGGAAGAAAGAACUUUGAAAGCAACUAGAAGGGAAAAGAAAAAGAAAGAUUAGAGAAAAGGCG
rnacentral:lncRNA from 1 species